rnacentral:lncRNA from 1 species
GCUUCAAGCUUCGGUUCUUCUUUGAAUGAUGCAUGGUAAGCCAUUUUUCAUCUAUUUCUAAUAAUUUUUAUGUUUUUGAGAUCGUUGCAAUUAGAUCCAGUUAGCCCAUACUUUCAAUUUUGAAAUUGUUAAAUAUUUUAAAUAUUUCCAUUGAUGAAUCUUGUGAUAUUUGAUGUUAAAUGAUAAAUUUGUAAUGUUGGUUGAUAUUUAAAAGUAUUUUGUUAAGUGAUUUUUGAUGAAUUUGUUUAUUAAUGACUAAAUUGUUAAAAUAGUAAAAAUACAAGGAAUUGUUGAGAAAUUUUUGCAUUAAUGGGCUGUAUUGGAUAGCAUAAGUAUUCGGCUCAGCUCAAUUUUGGGUAAAAAUGGUUAAUUUGCAUGUUUUAGGCUUAGAGACUAAAUUAAAUAAAAGUAAAACUUUAGGGGCAAUUUUAUAAAAAUGUAAAAAAUGAAUAAAUUGCAUAAAAUGAAUUUUUUUUACUAUCUAAAUUGAUAGAUUGAAUUAAAUUAUUAAUUUAGAUCAAAAUCGGGUGGAAAAUCGAGGAGAAUAGAAAAUUACCAAAAUGCCCCUAUACUUUGACAUUUCUGCAAUUUAGCCAGGUAAGUUUGUACGGUUUAAAAUUUUAAUAUAUAUAUGAAUUGUUGAAUUGUAUAACAUGAUACAAUAAGUAUUUAUUCAAUUGAUGAUAAUGAACAAUUAUUUGAGAAAUAUUAUUGAAAAUUGAUGUUCGGAUAGGAUUGAACGCGGGAUGGAGUAUAGCCGUGAUUUGGUGUGUUACGAGGGAUUGGAGUGGAGAUGGAUAUGGAGUGAUGUAUGUUCAUAUUACCUAAGUAAACCGAGGUUUAGUAUUUGUUGUGAAAUUUCGUGUUAUGCUCUAUGUUUGGCGUGUUGGUUGGAUUAGCUCUUAUGAGCAUUGGUGUGUUGGAGGGAUUGGCUCGUGUGAGCAUCUGGUGUGUUUGGUUGGAAUGAUGAUGUAAUCUUAUCCGUAAGUUGUUAUUCGAAUGGAAAAUAUCGGUAAGGUAAUCUAUAUAAUGAAUUUGAAAGAUUUGUCAUUUAUUGAAUAUUGAUCUGAACAUAAAUGAAUUCAAUAGUUGAGACUGUGGA